CAGACGCAGAGAAUAAAAUCCAGGGCAAAAUCCAUCCACCCAUCCUGUGUGAGGAGGUUCCCCCGAGCAGGAACUAAAGCUGGAUAUCAGCAGUCAAGGCAACCCACUUGGAGCACGCCAAGUCCCAGUCACCAACUGGCUGACGCACCGGGUUUGCCGCUCUCCCGAGCCCUGCAGAAG